rnacentral:rRNA from 1 species
UCGCAAGACCUUGCGCUAAAGGAGCGGCCGAUGUCUGAUUAGCUAGUUGGUGGGGUAAAAGCCUACCAAGGCGACGAUCAGUAGUUGGUCUGAGAGGACGACCAACCACACUGGGACUGAGACACGGCCCAGACUCCUACGGGAGGCAGCAGUGGGGAAUUUUGGACAAUGGGCGAAAGCCUGAUCCAGCCAUGCCGCGUGAGUGAAGAAGGCCUUCGGGUUGUAAAGCUCUUUCAGUCGGAAAGAAACGAUUGUGAUUAAUACUCACAAUUAAUGACGGUACCGACAGAAGAAGCACCGGCUAACUACGUGCCAGCAGCCGCGGUAAUACGUAGGGUGCGAGCGUUAAUCGGAAUUACUGGGCGUAAAGGGUGCGCAGGCGGUCUUGUAAGUCAGAUGUGAAAUCCCCGGGCUUAACCUGGGAAUUGCGUUUGAA